rnacentral:rRNA from 14 species
CACCUGCCGAAUGAACUAGCCCUGAAAAUGGAUGGCGCUUAAGCGUGUUACCUAUACCUCACCGUCAGUGUUAGAGCGAUGCGCUGACGAGUAGGCAGGCGUGGAGGUCCGUGAAGAAGCUUUCGCAGUGAUGCGGAGUAGAACGGCCUCUAGUGCAGAUCUUGGUGGUAGUAGCAAAUAUUCAAGUGAGAACCUUGAAGACUGAAGUGGGGAAGGGUUCCAUGGUAACAGCAGUUGGACAUGGGUGAGUCGGUCCUAAGAGAUAGGGGAAUUCCGUUUCAAAGUGUACGCUUGUUCGUACGGCCUAUCGAAAGGGAAUACGGUUAAAAUUCCGUAACCGGGAUGCAGAUUCUGAACGGUGACGUUAAUGAACUUGGAGACGCCGGUGAGGGCCCUGGGAAGAGUUAUCUUUUCUCCUUUAU